AGACCCCAAGACGCCUCUUUGCAGCUGGACUUGAUGUAGAUAAGCUCCAGAAACUGGAGCUGAGUUUGAUGUCAAAAUAGGAUGAGGUAGCCCCGCCACCUACCUUCUACCUGGAGCCUUCCUUCCCAGGUCCUUCUUCAACACCAGCUCCAGGAUCUGCAAGACCUUUGGGUAUGGCCUCUGCAGAAGGAAGGAGACCACUUCCUGGAGAAGCAGGAGUGAGCCAGGAUCUGCUGUGGGAGACAGCCGGGACCCCAGGGCGUGGGGCAAGAGAGCCUGUCACCUGUGCUGCCUUGAGAUGCUGAUGUCUGAGGAUGCCCCAGACAGGGCCUGUGGCUGCCUUCUGAAAUAGUGCAGCACCUUCUCUGCUUCCUCCUCAACCCUCUCCUUCACGGCAGAACUCUGCCUCCUUCCUGUCCCCAUGGGCUUGCUUCAGCACUGUAUUUGAUAAACUGAGCACCACAAGAACACAAACCACAUUCCUUUGUUCUUUCAUCACGUUAUCCCCAGCACUUAGCACAGUGCCUGGCACAAAGGAGGCAGUCUGUAAAUAUUUGUGUAAAGAAUGAAUAAACGAGGGCAUGAGCACAUCUCCUUUGCCCAGGACGGAUGACAGGCUGAGGGUUUGAAUCCAGGACUCUCUGAACCUAGCCCUCAUUCUCACUGCAUCCUCACCUUCAUCCUCUACCCUCCACCCCCUCACUGGGUUCUUUGGGGAUGGCAGGGGUGGAGUUUCUGGCGUCCGGUUCUGAGCAUCAGCGCUGCCAAGCGGUGGUGGCAGGGAGGAUUUCAUGAAAGAAUCCCCCAU